GCUUGGAUGGCUCAGUUGGUUAGAGCGCAGGUCUCAUAUUCAAAGUAUGAGUGAUCAGCCGAUCAUGUAAUCCUGAGGUCGUGAGUUCGAUCCUCACUCCGAGCA